AGGAAUACGCACGGUUAUGUGUGUUUCCUGGAGUGCAAGUGAGAGAGAGAAGCAUAUUAAAGGGAUACAAAAGCACACAACAGAACAUUUGACACCUUGUCUGAACAUGAAAAUUGGUUGGGUGGAGAGCAAAAACCACGAUGCAGAGUGGGGAACAACUUAGGGAGAGAGAAGGUGAGAAAGAGGGAGCCGAAGGCAGGAGGGGGGAGACUAUUACCUAAGGUGUCUGACUAAAUUAACUUCUCAUCAUCACUAAUUAGCCCCUUGUUCCUCUGUUCCCUCCAGGUUUGCUGACCCUUUCAACAAGCACAGUGCCCAAUCUGGAACUGAAAAAUGACUGCAGCCAUAGCUAACCAUCCAAAAGCUACAAGAUACAACUGCAAAUAAGGAUGCUGCAGAGAGGAGACAUGAAAGUGAGGCAGAACAACACACAGGAAAUGGUCUGAGGUGGACUCAAACCCAGGCCCCUACAGCGAGGGCUCCAGCCUUCAGUAUAGGACGGGUCUCCAGCUAAACCAGGUGUACUCACAUGAGAUCGGGUCUGUGUUUGUGGAUGAGGGCGCAGAAAGCCAGUCCGUCCCUGAAGGACGUGGUCAUGUUGGUGAUGGAGACAUCCCGGUAGCCCUCACACUGGAUCCGGCACCACUGCUGCAGAGCCUUCACGGCCGCCAUCCCAGAGCUCGGAGCCGGACUGAUCCGUGUGAUCCACGCUGGAAGCGCUCACAGAGCUCCCUCCUUUCUUCGCUCCUCAGCGUCCAACAAGUAAAACUUGAAAAACUUUCCACAGAAGCCCAGACUGACGCCUUAUCCGGGAAA